rnacentral:tRNA from 1 species
UUGGCUCAGUUGGUAGAGCAUCUGACUUUUAAUCAGAGGGUCGCUGGUUCGAACCCAGCACGGCUCA